rnacentral:rRNA from 1 species
UACGGAGGGGGCAAGCGUUAUUCGGAAUUAUUGGGCGUAAAGGGCGCGUAGGCGGCUAGAUGUGUCAAAGGUGAAAUCCCUCGGCUCAACUGAGGAACUGCCUUUGAAACUGUCUGGCUUGAGGCCGGGAGAGGGUAGCGGAAUUCCCAGUGUAGCGGUGGAAUGCGCAGAUAUCAGGAGGAACACCGGUGGCGAAGGCGGGUCGCUGGGCCGAUACUGACGCUGAGGAGCGAAAGCGUGGGGAGCGAACAGG